CAGGCUGGGAACGGACCCUUGGCCGAGGGCACCGGCCUUGAUGGCUGGAGGAAGGUGGAAGGUAGAGAGCCGGCUGCAGGGACGAUCUCAGAGGAAAAUGGGAAUCCAGAGCGUCUCUCCUUAUGACUUCAUUGCAAGAAUUUGAGAAUAACUUCAGUGUUCAACAAUGAAGAAACUGCCCAAAGUUGUUCAGCAAGUAACUGUCACAGCCAGUAGUAGAUCCAGUCUGACUCCAGAGUCCAGGUUCUCAACACUGAAUCCCAAAGAAUUGGUGCCAGACUCCGGCUGUCAUUCAGAGGAGACACAAGGUAAAAUCCCAACCCCAAGGGAACUGGCAGGAACGGGUCCAACC